AACUUAGCAGAGAUGCUUUGGUGCCUUCGGGAACUCUGAGACAGGUGCUGCAUGGCUGUCGUCAGCUCGUGUUGUGAAAUGUUGGGUUAACGUCCGCAACGAGCGCAACCCUUAUCCUUUGUUGCCAGCGGUUCGGCCGGGAACUCAAAGGAGACUGCCGGUGAUAAACCGGAGGAAGGUGGGGAUGACGUCAAGUCAUCAUGGCCCUUACGGCCAGGGCUACACACGUGCUACAAUGGCGCAUACAAAGAGAAGCGACCUCGCGAGAGCAAGCGGACCUCAUAAAGUGCGUCGUAGUCCGGAUUGGAGUCUGCAACUCGACUCCAUGAAGUCGGAAUCGCUAGUAAUCGUAGAUCAGAAUGCUACGGUGAAUACGUUCCCGGGCCUUGUACACACCGCCCGUCACACCAUGGGAGUGGGUUGCAAAAGAAGUAGGUAGCUUAACCUCCGGGAGGGCGCUUACCACUUUGUGAUUCAUGACUGGGGUGAAGUCGUAACAAGGUAGGCGUAGACGU
rnacentral:rRNA from 1 species